AUCAGUCAUCUUGUUUAGCUGAGUCCCUGAUGCUAAAAGGACAAGGUGAUCUUCAAAUUCUGUUUUCAGUGUGAUCAUGUUGCUGUCUCCUCCACAUUCUUCAGUAGCAUCUGGGUACUGACUUUUCAAUGAUGUGUCUUAAGAUGGAUCUAUUGCUAUUCAUAGGACUGGGAACAUGGUCACAUGGAGAAAACUGAGGACCAGCGAAGUGGCCUGCAGAAGUAACAAACUCCUUAACAAGUGCUAUGGCACCAGCUCAUCAGAAUGGACACUGGCUUUAAUGACUUUUGCAUUUCUGAAACCAGAUGACUUCACUGGAUGACUCCACUGAGACCCAAGACUCAAGACCCGACCAGUCCUGUGGCCCUCACGUCUACACAGUAUGUGUGAGGUUCAAUCUGACUAUCCAUCCUUUAUGGAAAUGCUACAUUACACAUUAACUCAAAGGCUGAGAAUCCAUUAAGUCAAGGACAGCUGGAUUGAUAAAGGGGACUGAGCAUGCCUGUCUUAUCCAGGCACCCGGUAAACAAGCCAGGCUCCAGUGCGGGUCCCCUGUGUUCCAUGGCUAUACAUCUCAUGUUUAUAUGCUUUAAAAAAGACAAAUACGUCUAUCUAUACUGGCAAGAUGCAAAGGCCUGCCAGGGAUUUUUCUAUGAGGCCCUAAACCAUGGUCUCUGCCAACAACUCCUCCAUCUCCCCAUGGCUCUCAAGAAAUAGAACUGCUCCAUCCUGAAGAUCCCUUGGAGCCUGUUGAGUUUUGUGGAAAAGAAAAUCACAUAAAGUUUUCUCCGUGACACACCUAGCAAGGCAUUUUCAAGUCCAAUUUAUUUACACAGGCCUAGCAGUACCCUGGAGAAUGCAUAUUUUCAUAUUUUCUCCCACUGUAUUGAACCCAUGCUUUGUAGCAGAUGUCAUAGAGCUGAUAUCGCAGAUAGCCAAGCUUUGCUGUAGAAGCAUGUGAAAAGACAGACAUCCAAAGAAACAUUGCAAAUGUGUACUACAUUAUCAAACUCUCCAAAUUUAGGCUUAUUCCUAGAAUACAAAUAUUUCUCAACCCAGCAGGCAGCCAGGUGCCCGCAAAUCCUGAAAUUAUAAAAACUUUGGCCAAGUUGAUUUACUUCUGCGGUCUCUUGUUGAAAAAUGUGUUGAUUCACAUUAAUGGCUUGAUGAAGGGGGGACUGGAGGACUAGAGGUAUCAGGGUGA
rnacentral:lncRNA from 1 species